rnacentral:rRNA from 1 species
CUUCGGGUCUAGCGGCGGACGGGUGAGUAACGCGUGGGAACGUGCCCUUUGCUACGGAAUAGUCCCGGGAAACUGGGUUUAAUACCGUAUGUGCCCUUCGGGGGAAAGAUUUAUCGGCAAAGGAUCGGCCCGCGUUGGAUUAGGUAGUUGGUGGGGUAAUGGCCUACCAAGCCGACGAUCCAUAGCUGGUUUGAGAGGAUGAUCAGCCACACUGGGACUGAGACACGGCCCACACUCCUACGGGAGGCAGCAGUGGGGAAUCUUACACAAUGGGGGCAACCCUGAUCUAGCCGUGCCGCGUGAGUGAUGAAGGCCUUAGGGUUGUAAAGCUCUUUCAGCUGGGAAGAUAAUGACGGUACCAGCAGAAGAAGCCCCGGCUAACUCCGUGCCAGCAGCCGCGGUAAUACGGAGGGGGCUAGCGUUGUUCGGAAUUACUGGGCGUAAAGCGCACGUAGGCGGACUGGAAAGUUGGGGGUGAAAUCCCGGGGCUCACCUCGGAACUGCCUUCAAACUAUCAGUCUGGAGUUCGAGAGAGGUGAGUGGAAUACCGAGUGUAGAGGUGAAAUUCGUAGAUAUUCGGUGGAACACCAGUGGCGAAGGCGGCUCACUGGCUCGAUACUGACGCUGAGGUGCGAACGCGU